UCUUUCAGAUGAAAACUAAUUUUGUAAUGUCAACGUGUUAGAUAUCUUUCUAUUUUAUUUUAUUUUUAUUUAUUGUUAAAUCGAAAUUUAAUAGUAACCAAAAUGUUUUGAAGACUGCCGAUUAAUUUAUGAUAAUGUCAGGGCUCAGUACCGACGGCAUGGAGCCCGAAGAGGUAAACAUCAAAGAAAACAAGAUAAACGAUGACGUCAAGUCUUUCUUACUAAAGCGGAGCGAACAUGACCUGCCUCGAUACACUGCUAGAAUAAGGACCUACCUAGAUGUUAAAAGAAAGCGCCAGCGGGCGAAUGAGGCGCGACGCAAUAUUGAGAAAGAAAAAACAAAGAAGAAAACUGAGACUGAGACAAAAGAGGACACCGGCUUUUUCAGUAACGAUGACGGUCGUGUCAGCAGGAGUCGCCGUGAUAAAGACCAGCGCGCCCGCCCUGCGUCACGUGGGCAGGAGCCCGCAGACCGUUGCGGCCGGCGCAGGCGCCGACGGAGAUCGUGUGUAAGAUUUAAAGGAAUCUACAAACGUCGAAGACGCCGUCGCCGCCGCAGUUGCAGAAGGCGUCGCCGCCGACGCAGUUGCAGUCGGCGCCGCCGCCGCCGCAGUUGCAGUCGACGCCGCCGCCGUCGCCGUCGUCGCAGCUGUAGCCGCCGCCGCCGCAGACGAAGCUGUCGGCGAAAAAGACGCAAGAACCGUUGUGGAUGUCGUCGUUAAGCCCCGAUGUUAUCCAAUUGUAACCGAUUUUUGGAGAGUUUUAUGAAUAAAAUAUUGAUGUCCGCUAA